rnacentral:tRNA from 1 species
GGUCCUGUGGUGAAGUUCAUGGUGAGUUGCAAGCUCAUUGAUGUGCGUUGAUUCCGCACCGGGACCU